rnacentral:rRNA from 1 species
AACGAACGCUGGCGGCGUGGAUAAGACAUGCAAGUCGAACGGGAGUUUAUUUAUAGCAAUAUGAGUGAACUCUAGUGGCGAAAGGGUGCGUAACACGUAGCUACCUACCUCGAAGUUGGGGAUAGCUCGGCGAAAGCCGGAUUAAUACCGAAUGUGAUCGUAAGAUCAAAGCUGGGGAUCGUAAGACCUGGCGCUUUGAGAUGGGGCUGCGGCCUAUCAGCAGUUGGCGGGUAACGGCCCACCAAGGCUUAGACGGUAGCUGGUCUGAGAGGACGACCAGCCACACUGGAACUGAGACACGGUCCAGACACCUACGGGUGGCAGCAGUCGAGGAUUUUUCUCAAUGGGGGAAACCCUGAAGGAGCGACGCCGCGUGAGGGAUGAAGGUCUUCGGAUUGUAAACCUCUGUCAUCUGGG